rnacentral:rRNA from 1 species
AUUGAACGCUGGCGGCAGGCCUAACACAUGCAAGUCGAACGAGUGGCGGACGGGUGAGUAAUGUCUGGGAAACUGCCUGAUGGAGGGGGAUAACUACGGGAACCGGUAGUUAAUACCGCAUACCAUCAGAUGUUCCCAGAUGGGAUUAGCUGGUUGGUGGGGUAACGGCUCACCAAGGCCACGAUCCCUAGCUGGUCUGAGAGGAUGACCAGCCACACUGGAACUGAGACACGGUCCAGACUCCUACGGGAGGCAGCAGUGGGGAAUAUUGCGCAAUGGGCGAAAGCCUGAGACAGCCAUGCCGCGUGUGUGAUGAAGGCCUUCGGGUUGUAAAGUACUUUCAGCGGGGAGGCGUUACCCGCAGAAGAAGCACCGGCUAACUCCGUGCCAGCAGCCGCGGUAAUUC